rnacentral:rRNA from 1 species
UACGGAGGGUGCAAGCGUUGUUCGGAUUUACUGGGCGUAAAGCGCGCGCAGGUGGGUGAACAAGUCGGAAGUGAAAUCUUGAGGCUCAACCUCGAGGCUGCUCCCGAAACUGUUCGCCUAGGGACUGGUAGAGGCUGGUAGAAUUCCCGGUGUAGCGGUGGAAUGCGUAGAGAUCGGGAAGAACAUCAGUGGCGAAGGCGGCCUGCUGGGCUGUUGCUGACGCUGAGGCGCGACAGCGUGGGGAGCAAACAGG